rnacentral:lncRNA from 1 species
CGCACCUCGAGUAAAUGAAAGCCUGCCGGCUAUCGCUCGGCAACCCAUAUACAUGAUCACCGAUAUUUCCUCAUCAGCCGAUCACAUCCAGUCGACCAACUUUACGCUGCUGAACAGAUCUUGGCUCUGGAUUUCUUCAUCCAAUGAUGACACAAGGUGAUCGACUCUUAGUCAUCGCCGACCAAUCCUCAUCUCGAUGACACCCAAUUGGUGAUCCAAUUCAAAAUUCAACACCUACCGGAUGACAACUGUCGAGGAACUGAUAAGGCAACCACAACUAUCAUAUCCCAAAAAUCUUGAGCGA